rnacentral:rRNA from 1 species
AUGAACGCUGGCGGCGUGCCUCAUCCAUGCCAGUCGAGCGAACAGACGAGGAGCUUGCUCCUCUGACGUUAGCGGCGGACGGGUGAGUAACACGUGGAUAACCUACCUAUAAGACUGGGAUAACUUCGGGAAACCGGAGCUAAUACCGGAUAAUAUAUUGAACCGCAUGGUUCAAUAGUGAAAGACGGUUUUGCUGUCACUUAUAGAUGGAUCCGCGCCGCAUUAGCUAGUUGGUAAGGUAACGGCUUACCAAGGCAACGAUGCGUAGCCGACCUGAGAGGGUGAUCGGCCACACUGGAACUGAGACACGGUCCAGACUCCUACGGGAGGCAGCAGUAGGGAAUCUUCCGCAAUGGGCGAAAGCCUGACGGAGCAACGCCGCGUGAGUGAUGAAGGUCUUCGGAUCGUAAAACUCUGUUAUUAGGGAAGAACAAAUGUGUAAGUAACUAUGCACGUCUUGACGGUACCUAAUCAGAAAGCCACGGCUAACUACGUG